rnacentral:lncRNA from 1 species
GCCGAACUCCAGAAACGAUGUUCUCUUACGCCUUGUAUGCUGUGAGUGAGGGAAAAAAGUUAAUAUACUGGUGCUGGUGGUGCAGCUCACUUGCCUGUAACAAGUGACAUCAAAGCUUCAUUGUAACAUGUUAUAUGGAAGAGAUAGUAUCUAUGUUGCCGAUGUGAAGGAGGCUCCGGAGUUGAAAGAACUGAAGAGAACUGUCUAUUGUUUAGUGAAGAUGGUGCAGAAGCAAAAUAUUUGAUUCUGAGCAGGGGAAGGGAUCCUCAUCUAAAGGGAGGUUUGCCUCAAUGAAGUGCUUAUAUAUAAGUAUAUAGCAAGGAAUAGGGGCAGCUAAAGAAACAUUGUCUGAAGCGAAAUAAGGGGAAGGAGUCAAAGUAGAAAAGGAAUGCAAAUGUGACGGUGAGGCAUCUGCCGGUGUCAACAAACAGUUAUAGUUUUGAAGAGAGGGAUCAAUGGUCAUGAUGUUUUGUCAACUUUCCUAACUCAAACUUGUUUAAAUGUUUUUCAUUCAGUUAUGUUGAGUCUAUUAUUAUCCCAAUUUGUUAGGAUUGCAGUUAUUUGUUUCUUUUCAGGGUCUUUAUUUGAUCUCAAUUAUUCUGAGGAAAAAAAAUAUUCUUAUUUAGUAUAGAAGUAAAAUGCAUGAUUUACAUAAUACCUGGUGAUUAUAUAAAUAC